AGACCCGAAACCCGGUGAUCUAGCCAUGGGCAGGUUGAAGGUUGGGUAACACUAACUGGAGGACCGAACCGACUAAUGUUGAAAAAUUAGCGGAUGACCUGUGGCUGGGGGUGAAAGGCCAAUCAAACCGGGAGAUAGCUGGUUCUCCCCGAAAGCUAUUUAGGUAGCGCCUCGUGAAUUCAUCUCCGGGGGUAGAGCACUGUUUCGGCUAGGGGGCCAUCCCGGCUUACCAACCCGAUGCAAACUGCGAAUACCGGAGAAUGUUAUCACGGGAGACACACGGCGGGUGCUAACGUCCGUCGUGAAGAGGGAAACAACCCAGACCGCCAGCUAAGGUCCCAAAGUCAUGGUUAAGUGGGAAACGAUGUGGGAAGGCCCAGACAGCCAGGAUGUUGGCUUAGAAGCAGCCAUCAUUUAAAGAAAGCGUAAUAGCUCACUGGUCGAGUCGGCCUGCGCGGAAGAUGUAACGGGGCUAAACCAUGCACCGAAGCUGCGGCAGCGAACGUAUCACCCAAGACAACUUUACGGAGUUGACGAUUGACGGAGCGAAGCGACGUCAAAGCGUUCAUUAAAGUCGAGUUGGCUUAGGGAUACGUUCGUUGGGUAGGGGAGCGUUCUGUAAGCCUGUGAAGGUGUGUCGUGAGGCAUGCUGGAGGUAUCAGAAGUGCGAAUGCUGACAUAAGUAACGAUAAAGCGGGUGAAAAGCCCGCUCGCCGGAAGACCAAGGGUUCCUGUCCAACGUUAAUCGGGGCAGGGUGAGUCGACCCCUAAGGCGAGGCCGAAAGGCGUAGUCGAUGGGAAACGGGUUAAUAUUCCCGUACUUGGUGUUACUGCGAAGGGGGGACGGAGAAGGCUAUGUUGGCCGGGCGACGGUUGUCCCGGUUUAAGCGUGUAGGUGUGUGUUCCAGGUAAAUCCGGUUCACUUUAACACUGAGGCGUGACGACGAGGCACUACGGUGCUGAAGCAACAAAUGCCCUGCUUCCAGGAAAAGCCUCUAAGCAUCAGGUAACACGAAAUCGUACCCCAAACCGACACAGGUGGUCAGGUAGAGAAUACCAAGGCGCUUGAGAGAACUCGGGUGAAGGAACUAGGCAAAAUGGUGCCGUAACUUCGGGAGAAGGCACGCUGACACGUAGGUGAAGUGAUUUACUCA
rnacentral:rRNA from 5 species